rnacentral:tRNA from 1 species
UCCCUAGUGGCUCAGUGGUAAAGAAUCUGCCUGCAAUGCAGAAGACAUGGGUUCAAUCCCUAGGUUGGGAA